UAUUGUUUUGUUUCCUUAGAUCUCCAGACUGGAGGGGAAUCUACAGGCAACAGUGCUGGAGAAUGGAGAGAACUUCUCUGUAGGAGAGAGACAACUCAUAUGUAUGGCUAGAGCACUACUACGCAACUCCAAGAUCAUUCUUUUGGAUGAGGCAACAGCAUCCAUCGAUGCAGAGACAGACGCCUUGAUCCAGACCACCAUCAAAGAAGCCUUUCAGGACUGCACCAUGCUCACCAUCGCCCAUCGUAUCAACACUGUGAUGCAUGCAGAUCGUAUUCUGGUCAUGGACAACGGAAAGGUGGCUGAGUUUGAC